ACAUAAUUUCUAAAACUCUAAGUGUGUUGCCACCCGAAUUUGAAAAAAAAAAGAAGGUUACCCUCGACAUGAGUUUAAAAAUAUCUCGAAGGUGAAGCUGAAACCAGAAUAUCCUGAAAUACCCACAUGCCUUCUAACAGGGGUAUGGUUGGAUGGUGGUGGUAAUCAUCCUUUAGCUCACGUCCAAAGAGUUUGACGUCCCUCUUUAGACUAUGUCCCAUUUUGCUGCUAAGAAAGAGUUCCACGUUGUGCUGCAUCCUACCUGAAGUCGUCCGCACCUAUGGUUUUUAUUUGAGAUUUUCAUCCUCUCAGAUGCUCUCAACAAUGCUUCAACCAAAAAGUGUUAGUACUAAACAUAAUUUACGAAAGAGGUAUGUAGUCUUUUACCAUAUCUCCACAUGAGUUGUGACGUGAAAAGCGGAGUCAUCUCUUCAUGUACCUAUUUAGAAUGAAAUAACUGGAAAAAACAAACAUAACAACCUUGUUGGUUGUUUUAUAAUUAUGACAUUUAUCGGUUUAAUACGUCUUCAAAGUGGGGUGGCCUUUUUGGACACCGGCGAUACUUUAUGCAGAACGGCCUCUACAACCGUGUAAUCUUGUGCUGGUGUGGCAACCUUUUUGGUUACCUAUAUCACUUGUUGUAUGUGGAAUGAUAACCUCUCCGGUUAUAGCCGAUGAUUGAUUUAUAAAUUUCCUUAAAUUGUCAAACUUUGGAUAAUUUUACGCAUUAUUGAUGUUGGAUACGAGGCGACUUAUAAAUAUUCUUUGAAUUGUUAGCUUUUAGGUAAUCCUGCACAUUAUCCAACUUUGCAUAAGAGAUGACUUAUAGAUAUCCCUUGAAUCUCUAGCUUUCAGGUGUUCCUGCACAUCAUCCUUUGAAUUGUGGCAAUGAUAUGCGGUAGACCUUGUGGCGAUGAUAUGAGAUAGCCCUUGUGGCGAUGAUAUACGAUAGCCCUUGUGGCGAUGAUAUGUGAUAGCCCUUGUGGCAAUGAUAUGCGAUAGCCUUUGUGCCGAUGAUAUGCCAUAGCCCCUGUGGCGAUGAUAUGCCAUAGCCCUUGUGGCGAUGAUAUGCAAUAACCCUUGUGGCGAUGAUAUGUAAUAGCCCUUGUGACGAUGAUAUGCAAUAUCUCUUGUGGCAAAGUUAUGUGAUAGCCCUUGUGGAGAUAAUAUGCAAUAGCCCUUGUGGCGAUGAUGUGCAAUAGCCCUUGUGGCCAUAUUAUGCCAUAGCCCUUGUGGCGAUGAUAUGCAAUAGCCCUUGGGGCAAUGAUUAAAAUAAUUUUACCUGAUUUCAUCUGUCACCAUCUUGCUUUCUACAUGUACCUGUGCUCAAGGUAGGCAAUUAGUAGACACAAAGUCGCUUUUGCUAGCAAUUAUUUUUAGGAAACUUCUAAAUACAAUAUUUGUAAAGAAGAGUAGGCACUUUUGUUUGUCGCCUAUGAUCUCAAGAAAUGAGAUGGACAAAUCAAAAGGUCCUCAAUAAAUAGCUGUUAACCCAUUUUUAGGGCUACCCUAAAAUACCAUCCUUGGGUAUUAAUGAUCUGUUGUGGCUCCCAAUUUGCUCGGGGAUUUUUGAUAGAGACUCUCAUUUUUGUGUAUUGAUCGCUGCAUCCACAGAAAAAUGAUUAGUUUGAAUAAAAUUACUCUAUGUUGACCUUCUUCGAUCCUCGAUUUGCUCCUUUCCAUCUCUCGGGCAUUCCGUCAUGUUGGGACUUCCACCCUAACACUCCAUCCCAAAUGAUGUCUAGGCAAGUACUAAAUAAGUGAGUCGUAAGAUUUUUGAAAAUAGACUUAGAUUUUUGAAAAUAAUUUCGAAAACAUCUGUAAAACUUUAGAAAAUCUCUGCCAAUUAUGUCAUGUACUAGCUUAAGGAACGUCCUCCUCAUGGUUUUUACUAUAUUCGAUAGAUAGUUUCCAAAACUCAUGAUCAUUGUUGGAGGGUUUCUUCAAGUAGUUCUAUCAUAGACAAAAAUUGAGUCUACCCAGACUUUGUUACAGUUGGUGGCUUCCAAAGAUUUAACCUCUGGUACUGGGGAAUUUGGAAUAUGUUUCGGCAUUUGGUGGAAAUUAUGAGGUCUUCCUUAAAAUUUAUGCCCCAGUUUAAAGUUGUUUGAUAUGAUAUCAAUCCGAGUUGAUCUGAAGUCUUUGUUGAUCUUCAUUCUCUUUGUUGGAUGUUGAUCUUUUCUUGUGAAAUUUUAAGAUUCCUUCUCGAAAAUUCUGCCCCAAUUUCCAUUUCCUGGGGUUAUAUGACCGAGCCGUUGGGGCGCCUACGUAUCCCGUUGAAGCAGGAAUCAGGUCAAACGUAGUUCAAGACUACGCUAGGGAUACACAAAAGAAAUUAAUGGGUUUACCGAAGCCGACAUAGGCCGCCUACGUAUCCCUUUCUCAGGAAUUCAGGUCAUCACGUAGUUCAUAUAUAAAGAGAAAGGAUAAAUUAUCCUAAGGGGUUGACCGAAGCCGACAUAGGCUGCCUACGUAUCUCUUUCUUGGGAAUUCAGGUCAAACGUAGUUCGUACAUAAAAAGAAAGGAUAAGUUUACCUAAGGGGUUGACCGAAGCCGACAUAGGCUGCCUACGUAUCCCGUACUUGGGAAUUCCGGUCAAACGUAGUUCGUACAUAAAAUAAAAGGGUAAAUUUUUCUAAGGGGUUGACCGAAACAGACAUAGGCCGCCUACGUAUCUCAUUCUUGAGGAUUCAGGUCAAACGUAGUUCGUACAUAAACUCAUAAUGGCCCUAAAAUACUCUUAACCAUCUUACUAGGAUAUAAAUAAGUAAUUUGAAGGAUCAAAUAUCCAAUUUCCUAGUCAUUGCCUUCCUAGUUAGCCACCUCGGUUUCCUCUAGAUUAGGCUUCUUUGAUUCUCGAACUCUUUGACUCUUCUGUUGACUGUUCUAGGGCUAUCAUUAUUUUGCUUCUUGACAUGACAUGAUAAUGGAAGGUUUUAAGGUACUAUUAUAUGACGGCCGAUGAUUCAUGAGUGGAGUGGAGGUCCAAUUCAAUAAUGUUUCCUCCAAUUAAUCUUCCAUGAUCCCGUUUGUCUUGGAAAAUUCUUCCCUCACAUUUUCCUUAUUCCAUCAUCGAGACCAUUGCUUACAUGUUUGAAAAAUGAUUGGUAGAAUCCAGUUUUACUACUAGUUAUUUUUCUCUUCCUGUAACAAAGCUAUAGUUAAGAAGGGGAUCUCUUAUUCAUUUUGAUUGGGUGAAGUAGGGUCAUUUUGUGCCAACAGAGAGUAUUUUCUAUUACCUGCAAAGUAAAAACAACUCAAAUGCUGAUGUGUUAGAUUCCGUUAGUAAUAAGUAAAGCAAGAUGAUAAGGUAGGAAGUAAACACAUAGAGUUUUUUCUCAUCUCAUGCGAAUUGAUCCAUGAAGUAAUGAUGACUUGAGGAUUUCAAUGAACAAGAUUUUGCUCAAUGAUAUGGAUGGUGGAAUUUGUUGGGAAGGUUCAACACUUCUUCUUCCUUCAAGAAAGUGGAGGACAACAGAGCUUUUGGAGAUAUGGGUUGGGCCGAAAGGCUACCUACAUAUCUCAUGGAGGAGAAAUCAGGCCCUACGUAGUUCGAAACUAUAAUGACAUUUUCUAAAUCUAAAGUCAAAUUUCUUAAAAUGGUAGCGAUCAUUUUGGAAGUUGUAAGAAUGACUACGGACUUUUCUGAGAAACUUGGGAGACUUGGAGUACUUUUGGUCGGACUUUUGUAUAGCGGGGUAUAUUUCUGCCUAGAGAUGUUCUAUAAAAAAUGGGAUUGGAUCAUUUCGCCUUUGAUUCAAAUCAACACAACACGUAUAAGAACAUAAACCGUUAUAUUACACAAGAAUAAUGUAAUAAAAGUGCAUCCUAAUUAGGUGACCCAUUUGAGCCAAGGGUUUAGACCUAAGAAAUUUCGAAGAAAAUAUACGUCUUUUUAAAGACAAUCCAUUAUCCCCAAAAACCUUCAUAGGUAUACCUAAAUGACAUAAAUGCCUACAAAAGUUGCACAAAAGAUAUACAAUCUUUAGGGAAAGGGAAUAAUGUCCCACGUAGGGGAUACUAAUUACUGAAUGCUUCUUCUAUCGGCCUUCGCGCUUUUAGCUUUGUCCACUCCUCAUUAUUGGAAACAUCCGUUAAUGAUCAAGCAAUUUUCAUAUAAAUGUGCCAUAGAUUCCAUGCAACUGUCCAAAUCGAUCAAUUUCUUGCUUGGCUUGUUUCAAUUCCUUCGUUAAUUGGUGUACGAUUGAUGCAUCCUUAUAUAAAAAUGAGUAAAACAAGUCUUCCCCCAACCCCCAAAGGAUAAUGGAUUGGAUUAAACAAACAUAUAUUUAUUCAACGCAUAAAUAUGAUUCGUGUGUGAUUGACUCAGGGUCAAUAGACAUAGGGCAAGUUUUCUAAUGGGCCCAAUACCCCGCUCGGGUAUUGGGUCAUCCUAGGAUUAUGCCUAAAAUAGGGUUUUGAUUUCGUUCUAUCCUCGGUUUCUAGAGUGGGUUUGAACACUGGUUCUCAAGCAGACAACUUGAGUUUGAAAAUACAAACAACCAUCAGACGAAUCACGUGCUAAUAAAUUGUUUGUAUUUCCAACACCUUUUUGGAAUUGAUCAAUAGGGGCCGGGAUACCCACGAAACCCCAAAACAGUUUAAAUAAUGUAGGAAUAUGCCAUGAGAUGCGAUAUUUAAAUUCUACAGAAUCAAAACACAUAAACACAUAAACAGUUAAUCAAAAGACCAAAUCAAACAUUUGGUUAGAACCUAGUUAAUAUUCCCAGCAGAGUCGCCAUUUCUGUUUUGACGAAAUUUUGACUUUUUGAGAGUCGCCACUUAAUUUUGAAAAGGAAUUAAGAAACCUUUAUAAAAGUCACUUCAAACGAUCCAAAACAGGAAAAUCAUUUUAAGUUAGAGAUUCUAGAUAGCGGUUCCUAUUAACGUUUUAGGAAGGUGUUAGGCACCUAAAACAUCCGCUAACUUGCGGUUAUCCGGACUAUUUGAAAAUCGACUUUUGAUUAACUUCGAAAAGAUUAAUUUGUUGAAAUAGUGAUUUGAUUUUUUUCAAAAAAAGACGCGUAAAAUAGAUUUAGGCGACUUAUUAGGGAUUUUAACUAAGUCUAAACAAAACUAGUAAACAAAUAAACACAUAAAACGGGAAGGGAGGAGAAAGUAAAGGAUUUAGGCCAUUGGGCCCAAAUCAACGAGACCUGUCCUAGUCUAGUUGGGCUUUCGACCCAUUUCACCUGUCCUAAACUAUUUUUNNNNNNNNNNNNNNNNNNNNNNNNNNNNNNNNNNNNNNNNNNNNNNNNNNNNNNNNNNNNNNNNNNNNNNNNNNNNNNNNNNNNNNNNNNNNNNNNNNNNNNNNNNNNNNNNNNNNNNNNNNNNNNNNNNNNNNNNNNNNNNNNNNNNNNNNNNNNNNNNNNNNNNNNNNNNNNNNNNNNNNNNNNNNNNNNNNNNNNNNNNNNNNNNNNNNNNNNNNNNNNNNNNNNNNNNNNNNNNNNNNNNNNNNNNNNNNNNNNNNNNNNNNNNNNNNNNNNNNNNNNNNNNNNNNNNNNNNNNNNNNNNNNNNNNNNNNNNNNNNNNNNNNNNNNNNNNNNNNNNNNNNNNNNNNNNNNNNNNNNNNNNNNNNNNNNNNNNNNNNNNNNNNNNNNNNNNNNNNNNNNNNNNNNNNNNNNNNNNNNNNNNNNNNNNNNNNNNNNNNNNNNNNNNNNNNNNNNNNNNNNNNNNNNNNNNNNNNNNNNNNNNNNNNNNNNNNNNNNNNNNNNNNNNNNNNNNNNNNNNNNNNNNNNNNNNNNNNNNNNNNNNNNNNNNNNNNNNNNNNNNNNNNNNNNNNNNNNNNNNNNNNNNNNNNNNNNNNNNNNNNNNNNNNNCAUCUAAAUCACAAUCAACAUUUUAUGGAAAAACGCAUAACGACCUAUGGUUUAUAUUUCUAAGACAUCGUUGAUUCUCUUUUGACAUUAUGAAUAAAAGAGAGACAUGAAUCAAGUCUUUACACACAAAAAGAGCACAUAUAACAAUCUGGAGUAAGAAAAUAAGAAUAAAAGUUUAGCAUUUCUAAAAGUGAAAUAUCAUUUAACAAUCAUACUAUGCAUGACUCGGAAAUAUCUAAAUAAUUCUAUUUAGCCACAAAAAUCUGAACUUUCUCAUCAUUUUGACAAAUUUAAAAACAUGAGAAAAAAAAAGAAAAAAAAAAACAUCGUGGAUGAAAAAUAAAGGUAUCAUUUCAUCUGUUAUAUGAAAAUUUUGGAGAUCCCUUAAAAUAAUUAACAAAGAAAUGACAAAUUCUUGAUCUAAUCAAUUACUCUUUUUACUAAGGCGAAACAAACAAUAGUAACCAUUUUUUCAACAUAAAAAAAAAACAACUUUACAUGCUAAAAUAAAUAUAUCGGCCAACAAUAAAUUUAAACAAGACAUGGGUAUUGUUUUUCAAGUAAAGAUCUAAACUUUAUCCAAAAUAAUCAAAGAAUAAAGUAAAAAAAGAGAAACAAUCAAUAUUAUCUAUUCUUUUCAACAUAAAGGAAAUAACUUUACAUGCAAAAAACAAAUAUAUCUACCAACAAUAAGUUUAAACAAGACAUGGGUAUCGUUUUUCAAGUAAAGAUCUAAACUUUAUUCAAAUAAUCAAAGAAUAAGGUGAAAAGGCAAUACAUUCAACAUUAACUAUUCUUCUAAACAUAAAGAAAAUAACGUUACAUACUAAAAACAAACGUAUCCAAGAACAAUGAGUUUAAAAAAAGCAUAAAUACAUAUUGUAAGCAAAGAUUGAAACUUUAUCCAAAAUAAUCCAAGAAUAAAGUCAAAAAAGGCACAUACAACUAUUGCUAGCUCAUUUUAAUAUCAUGAAUAUGAAAAUAAUUAGACUAACGAUACCACAACGUCCUAAGGCCUUCAAGGCUAUCUACAACAUACAAUCCCAACAAAUAAGAUUACAUCUACGAACUACGAAGAAGAAAAAAGAUAAAGAGAAAAUAGAUAAUAAAAACUAAAAUAAUAAAAAAAGAAAAAAGAAGGUGUCUUUACCUUUUGGGGAGGCAGCAAAACGAGACUACGAGCUUCGUUGGAAUCAACCACUACCGAAAAACGUCGCCGGCAACUCAAAAAUUUUGAUUAGCCGAUCAACUUUAUGAAACAAAAAUUUAUACUAAAUAUAAAUAACUAUUUUUGCUCAAAAGGAUUUUUACACCUUUCUAGCCUUUUUUUUUUCCUUCUCCCCUCCUCUCUCUAUCAAAGUAGUGGUCGUAUUUAUAGGAGAUAAUGGGGUAUUUUUUUUUCCACUAAUGUGGGAGAAAAGUAUUUAUAAGAAAGGAUAGAGAUUUAUUUCUUGUCAUCCACCAAUGCGGGAGAAAAAGCAUUUAGGGGUUUUUUUUGAAUGUAAAAAUUAAAGAUAAGGUGAGGUGGAAGAUAAUAUGGGGGGAAAUAGUACAAUAUAGUACAAUCUUUGAAUUUCAAAAUUGGAAAAGAUUUCAAAAUUUGAAAAUGAUAAAGUUUGGGGGAAUAGUACAAUUUGAAGUUAUUUUUUGGUGGGAAUUGGGUAAAAGUUAUGAGAGUUCUUGAGAAUUUUGGGGUUAUUUAAAAUAUAAUCCCAAUUGGAAUUUAAAAUUUAACCAUAUUUAUUUAUUUGACCAAAUUAAAAAUUAAUUGACGAAUUGCAUUGCAAUUAUGACCAAUUUUCAAUUAUGGUCAAAUCUAAUAGAUUGACUAAAUUAAAUUAAAAUGAUAUUAUCUUUUUUUUUAUCCCGAGCUUCUUGAUUUAAUAAAAUGAAUGCAUAUUUAUCCAAAUAAAUUAUUUUUGAGAAUAAAUUAUAUUUAAAUUAUGAUUUUAAUCAUUUUAAUUUAUUUUCAAGAUAAGCCUUAAUUAAAUCCGAUAUUUUAUAAAUUUAAUAUUUAAGUAACAAAUUAUAUAAUCUCAUAUAACUGAACACGAUAGUAUAUAAUCGCAACUUAAAAUGACAAAAUCACUUACAAAAAAUAUUUCAAGUUUUUUUUAUUUGGAUGAAAUAAUUAUUUUGAUUUUAUUAAAAACUAAAGAAACUCAGGAUUAAAUUUAGUCGUGGAGGGCAAAAAUUAGGUGUUAACAACUGCCCUCUCGCUUUGGGUAGUGUGGAUGUAAGUAACCCUGGGCAAAGGAAGGUUGACAUUCCUAAUUUUUAUCUGACCAUAGAUUCGAAUAUGAAAGAGGUUGGUUUUAGCGCGAGUUUCAUAGAGUCAUGGCCGGACCUCGGUAUUAGGUUUCCUACUCAGGUUACAUGAGAAUUUAGGCCACUUGUAGUUCAUAGAGCUUGAUUUAAAGCACGAUUUUCAAAAAAUUCACAAGUUAUCUCAGUUUUAAAGUGUUUGAUAAAACCAAGAAACUGGGGAAUAAAGGGAUUAGGGGGGAGGUCAGAAUGCAGUUGAGUUUUCUACAUAGAUCCCAACCUACAUAUCCCCAAGAUUUUGGGGAAUCAAACUGCUUGUAGUUCGACUCAAUCGGUAAAAAAGAUAGUCUUUUAUUUCAAACCAUAUUUAGCUCGGAAUGAGUGACAAGUUGAUCGAGUUGUAGAAAAGAGGAUUGUAACCUCAUAACCAUGAAUGUGGGAUCCUUCACAUCCAUAGUCAAGAACUUACCUGGACAUAAUUUCCAAAACUCUAAGUGUGUUGCCACCCGAAUUUGAAAAAAAGAGAAGGUUACCCUGGGGACGAGUUUAAAAAUAUCUCGAAGGUGAAGCUGAAACCAGAAUAUCCUGAAAUACCCACAUGCCUUCUAACAGGGGUGUGGUUGGAUGGUGGUGGUGAUCAUCCUUUAGCUCGCGUCCAAAGAGUUUGACGUCUCUCUUUAGACUAUGUCCCAUUUUGUUGCUAAGAAAGAGUUUCACGUUGUGGUGCGUCCUACCUUAAGUCGUCCGCACUUGUGGUUUUUAUUUGAGAUUUUCAUCCUCUCAGAUGAUCUCAACAAUUCUUCAAGUAAAAAGUGUUAGUACUAAACAUAAUUUACGAAAGAGGUAUGUAGUCUUUUACCAUAUCUCCAUGUGAGUUGUGGCGUGAAAAACGGAGUCAUCUCUUCAUGUACCUAUUUAGAAUGAAAUAACUGGCAACAACAAACAUAACAACCCUGUUGGUUAUUUUAUAAUUAUUACAUUUAUUGGUUUAAUACGUCUUCAAAGUGGGGUGGCCUUUUUGGACACCGGCGAUACUUUAUGCAGAACUGUCUCUACAACCGUGUAAUCUUGUGCUGGUGUGGCAACCUUUUUGGUUACCUAUAUCAAUUUUUGUACGUGGAAUGAUAACCUCUCCGGUUGUAGCCGAUGAUCGAUUUAUAAAUUUCCUUAAGUUGUCAAUCCUUGGAUAAUUUUGCGCAUUAUUUGAUGUUGGAUACAAGGCAACUGCAGAUAAUCCUGCACAUUAUCCAACUUUGAAUUGUUAGCUUUUAGGUAAUCCUGCACAUUAUCCAACUUUGGAUAAGAGCUGACUUACAGAUAUCUCUUGAAUCUCUAGUUUUCAGGUGUUCCUGCACAUCAUCCGACCUUGGAUGCAAUAUGACUAAUAGAUAAUCCCUCAAAUUGUUAGUCUUUGGGUAAUCUUGCACAUAAUCGAUCUUGGAUAUGACGCGGCUUAUAGAGAACCUUUGGACGUAUCAAUUUGAUAAUCUUGCAUAUUCUCUGGUAAGGAUUUAGUUGCGACUUAUGGAUAACCUUUGAACUAUCGAUUAUUGGGCAAUCUUGCACCCUAAUCGGUUAGGCUGUUGUUGUGGCUUACGGAUGACCUACAGGCUAUCAACUCAUAGGUUAUCUUGCACACUAUCCUGUUUUAAAUAAUAUGACUUAUAGAUGACCCUCAAAUUAUCAAUUUCUAGGAAAUCUUAUAUAUCAUUCAUCCUUAGAUAGCGACUUAAAGGCGUCCCUUCAAAUCGUGUGCUAUUAAUACAUUCAGAUGCGGAUUCAUAAAAUGAUGAGAUAUCCUCGACUCCAGUAUUUCUGUCUAGCGUGUUAACAGAUAUUGAAUAAUGAUGAUAUCCUCGACGCCAAUUUUUCUAUCUAGAGCGUCAAUAGAUAUUGAAUGUUGAUGAUAUCCUCGACGCCAGCGUUUCUGUCUAGCGCGUCAACAGAUAUUGAAUGAUGAUGAUACCCUCGACGCCAGCAUUUCUGUCUAGCGCGUCAACAAAUAUUGAAUGUCUUCUGGGACGAUGGUAUGAGAUGGCCUUUGCAGCAAUGAUAUGUAAUGGCCCUUGGGGAAAUGAUAUGCAAUAGCCCUUGUGGAGAUGAUAUGCGAUAGCCCUUGUGGCGAUGAUAUGCAACAGCCCUUGUGGUGAUGAUAUGCAAUAGCCCUUGUGGCGAUGAUAUGCCAUAGCCUUUGUGGCGAUGAUAUGCCAUAACCCUUGUGGCGAUGAUAUGUCAUAGCCCUUAUGGCGAUGAUAUGCGAUAGCCCUUGUGGCGAUGAUAUGCGAUAGCCCUUGUGGUGAUGAUAUGCGAUAGCCCUUGUGGCGAUGAUAUGCGAUAGCCCUUGUGGCGAUGAUAUGCGAUAGCCCUUGUCGCGAUGAUAUGCAAUAGCCCUUGUGGCGAUGAUAUCAAAUAGACCUUGUGGCGAUGAUAUGCAAUAGCCCUUGUGGUGAUGAUAUGCAAUAUCCCUUGUGGCGAUGAUAUGCAAUAUCCCUUGUGGCGAUGAUAUGACAUAGCCCUUGUGGCGAUGAUAUGAAAUAGCCCUUGUGGCGAUGAUAUGCAAUAGCCCUUGGGGCAAUGAUAAAAAUAAUUUUACCUAAAUUCAUCUGUCACCGUCUUGCUUUCUACAUGUACCUGUGCUCAAGGUAGGCGAUUAUUAGACACAAAGUCGCUUUUGCUAGCAAUUAUUUUUAGGAAACUUCUAAAUACAAUAUUUGUAAAGAAGACUAGGCGCUUUUGUUUGUCGCCUAUGAUCUCAAGAAAUGAGAUGGACAAAUCAAAAGGUCCUUAAUAAAUAGCUGUUAACCCAUUUUUAGGGCUACCCUAAAAUACCAUUCUUGGGUAUUAAUGAUCUGUUGUGGCUCCCAAUUUGCUCGGGGAUUUUUAAUAGAGACUCUCAUUUUUGUGUAUUGAUCGCUGCAUACACAGAAAAAUGAUUAGUUUGAAUAAAAUUACUCUAUGUUGACCUUCUUCGAUCCUCGAUUUGCUCCUUUCCAUCUCUCGGGCAUUCUGUCAUGUUGGGACUUCCACCCUAACACUCCAUCCCAAAUGAUGUCUAGGCAAGUACUAAAUAAGUGAGUCGUAAGAUUUUUGAAAAUAGACUUAAAUUUUUGAAAAUAAUUUCGAAAACAUCUGUAAAACUUUAGAAAAUCUCUGCCAAUUAUGUUAUGUACUAGCUCAAGGAACGUCCUCCUCAUGGUUUUUACUAUAUUCGAUAGAUAGUUUCCAAAACUCAUGAUCAUUGUUGAGGGUUUCUUUAAGUAGUUCUAUCAUAGCCAAAAAUUGAGUCUACCCAGACUUUGUUACAGUUGGUGGCUUCCAAAGAUUUAACCUCUGGUACUGGGGAAUUUGGAAUAUGUUUCGGCAUUUGGUGGAAAUUAUGAGGUCUUCCUUAAAAUUUAUGCCCCAGUAUAUCAAUCCGAGUUGAUCUGAAGUCUAUGUUGAUCUUCAUUCUCUUUGUUGGAUGUCGAUCUUUUCUUGUGAGUUUUUGAGAUUCCUUCUCGAAAAUUCUGCCCCAAUUUCCAUCUCCUGUGGUUAUAUGACCGAGCUGGUGGGGCGCCUACGUAUCCCGUUGAAGCAAGAAUCAGGUAAAACGUUGUUCAAGACUACGCUAGGGAUAUACAAAAGAAAUUAAUGGGUUGACCGAAGCCGACAUAGGCCGCCUACGUAUCCCUUUCUCAGGAAUUCAGGUCAUCACGUAGUUCAUAUAUAAAGAGAAAGGAUAAAUUAUCCUAAGGGGUUGACUGAAGCCGACAUAGGCUGCCUACGUAUCUCUUUCUUGGGAAUUCAGGUCAAACGUAGUUCGUACAUAAAAAGAAAGGAUAAGUUUUCCUAAGGGGUUGACCGAAGCGGACAUAGGCCGCCUACUUAUCCCAUUCUUGGGAAUUCCGGUCAAACGUAGUUCGUACAUAAAAUAAAAGGGUAAAUUUUUCUAAGGGGUUGACCGAAGCCGACAUAGGCCGCCUACGUAUCUCAUUCUUGAGAAUUCAGGUCAAACGUAGUUCGUACAUAAACUCAUAAUGACCCUAAAAUACUCUUAUCCAUCUUACUAGGAUAUAAAUAAGUACUUUGAAGGAUCAAAUAUCCAAUUUCCUUAGUCAUUGCCUUCCUAGUUAACCACCUCGGUUUUCUCUAGAUUAGGCUUCUUUGAUUCUCGAACUCUUUAACUCUUCUGUUGAUUGUUCUAGGGAUAUCAUUAUUUUGCUUCUUGACAUGAAAUGAUAAUGGAAAGUUUUAAGUUACUGUUAUACGAUGGGCGAUGAUUCAUGAGUGGAGUGGAGGUCCAAUUCAAUAAUGUUUCCUCCAAUUAAUCUUCCAUGAUCCCGUUUGUCUUGGAAAAUUCUUCCCUCACAUUUUCCUUAUUCCAUCAUCGAGACCAUUGCUUACAUGUUUGAAAAAUGAUUGGUAGAAUCUAGUUUUACUACUAGUCAUUUUUCUCUUCCUGUAACAAAGCUAUAGUUAAGAAGGGGAUCUCUUAUUCAUUUUGAUCGGGUGAAGUAGGGUCAUUUUGUGCCAACACAGAGUAGUUUCUAUUACCUGCAAAGUAAAAACAGCUCAAACUCUGAUGUGUUAGAUUCCGUUAGUAAUAAGUAAAGCAAGAUGAUAAGGUAGGAAGUAAACACAUAGAGUUUUUUCUCAUCUCAUGCGAAUUGAUCCAUGAAGUAAUGAUGACUCGAGGAUUUCAAUGAACAGGAUUUUGCUCAAUGAUAUGGAUAGGUGGAAUUUGUUGGGAAGGUUCAACGCUUCUUCUUUCUUCAAGAAAGUGGAGGACAACAGAGCUUUUGGAGAUAUGGGCUGGGCUGAAAGGCUACCUACGUAUCUCACGGCGGAGAAAUCAGGCCCUACGUAGUUCGAAACUAUAACGACAUUUUCUAAUUCUAAAGUCAACUUUCCUAAAAUGGUAGCGAUCAUUUUGGAAGUUUUAAGAAUGACUACGGACUUUUCUGAGAAACUUGGGAGACUUGAUGUACUUUUGGUCGGACUUUUGUAUAGUGGGGUAUAUUUCUGCCUAGAGAUGUUCUAUAAAAAUGGGAUUGGAUCAUUUCGCCUUUGAUUUGAAUCAACACAACACGUAUAAGAACAUAAACAGUUAUAUUACACAAGCAUAUUGUAAUAAAAGUGCAUCCUAAUUAGGUGACCCAUUUGAGCCAAGGGUUUAGACCUAAGAAAUUUUGAAGAAAAUAUACGUCUUUUUAAAGACAAUCCAUUAUCCCCAAAAACCUUCAUAGUUAUACCUAAAUGACAUAAAUGUCUACAAAAGUUGCACAAAAUAGAUACAAUCUUUAGGGAAAGGGAAUAAUGUCCCACGCAGGGUUAUAUAGCGGGGUGCAUGCUACUCUAUUCAUCCAGGGGCCACAAAGAUGUACCGCAACUUGCGGGAAAUCUAUUGGUGGAGUGGGAUAAAGAGAGAUAUUGUAGAGUUUGUGGCUAAGUGAUCUACAUGUCAUCAGGUUAAGAUUGAGUAUUCUAAUCCUAGUGGGUCCAUACAGGAUUUCAAUAUUCUUACAUGGAAGUAGGAAGAUGUGAACAUGGACUUCGUGACGGGUUUGCCUCAUACUUGUCACCAACAUCAUUCAGUUUGGGUCAUUGUAUAUAGAAUGACCAAAUCAGCUUAUUUUCUUCCAGUCCAUACCACUUAUUUAGCCGAGGAUUACGCCAACCUCUAUAUCAGAGAGUUGGUCAGAUUUCACGGUGUUCCGUUAUCUAUUAUCUCAUACAGAGGUACCCCUUUCACCUCUCAUUUCGGGAAAGCAUUCCAAAAGGGUAUUGGUACCCAAGUUCAUCUCAGUAUAGCCUUUCAUCCUCAAAUAGAUGGUCAAGCAGAAAGGACCAUUCAGAGUUUAAAAAAUAUGCUGCGAGCAUGUGCAAUUAUUUUCAAGGGUAGUUAUACAAAAUUUAAGACUAUUAGAUACAUUCAACCCAUAACAGUACUAAACUCUACUAGUUUUAUCCGAAACUAAACUGUCAAAUAUCAAGUUUGGAUUCAUUUAUCCUUCCAACCAAUCCAUUAAACCAAAUUGAGCCAUAAACAUAAAUAAUCAUCAAUUCAAUAGUAUAUCACCAUAUCUCCCUUCCAUAACUCAAUUUCCAUAUCCACCUUCCAUAACCCAAUACCAUAUCCACCUUCCACAAUUCAAUACAACCAAACCAUGCAAAAUAGUCCAUAACCCUAUUUCCAUCACCUUUCAAUUAGAACCAAUACAUAUAAUCCUCUAUCACACAUAUACAUAUGGAAAAGAACAAGAAAAACAAUAUUCAUACCUUAGAAUUCACCUCUUGAUUAUGCAAUCCUGUUUGCACAAAUAAUAGGUGCCGUUCGAAGCUCUCGAGAUGACAAACACAGUUAUCGGAUUACUUUGAAAUUUCUACGGUUGAAUCAAAAGUAAUUUAAAGGUCAAAUUUGGCUAGGUUUUGUUCUUUCUCAAUGAUUGAUGAUGAAAAUGAGUUUUUGAACUCAUAUACAUGCAUAUAUACACAUAUUCCCGUCCAUAAUAUAAUAGGAAAUGACCAAAAUGCCUUAAAAUUUUAAAUAAUGCCAAAUCUGUCCUUUGGUGGACUGUUUUGAUAAGCUAAAGUAGAUCGACCAUAACUCUUUGCUCCGAUAUCGGAUUUGGGUGAAAUUGGUAUCGUUGGAAAUAUAAUUCAAUGGGAUUUCAUUUAAUAUAAAGUAGGUCACCCAGUUCGUCCUGUACAAGGAGUUAUGGUCGUUUGAAGUUGAAAGAUGUUUCUUUUCAUAUGUCACAGCUCUCCCAGUUCAUUAUAUUGAGAGAGUUAUGAUCGUUCGAAGUUGACCCAAAAAAUUGGCUGGCCUCAGUAGUUUGUGUGCAGGAAAUUUUCCUGUACAUUUAUUAUUCCCAAAUAUCCCGGCCACCGUUUUAUAGUUUCGAACGUGCUCGAUUAUAUCCGAAACCUAUCCGUUUUUGAAAAUCUUUAUAUCGUUGGAAAGCUUAUUCAAUAACUUUCUUAUGGAACCAUCGACGGGCCAAUUCCGGUAUAAAUAAAAUAAAAUAAAAUAAAUUCCAUAUAAAUAAGACCAAUACACGUACUUGAAUACGGGGUGUUACAAUGGCCAAACAAACCAACUGUAGAGGUACCUCAAACAAUUGGAAUCUCUUCAAACUCACUCAACGAUUUGAUGAUCACACGAAGUAUAUUUUCAGAAAACAAGAAAAGUUUUAUUGCAGAAAAAUUUUCGUAUGUAAACCUGUGGAUAAAUGCAGGUUUAUAUAGCCAUCAAGUGCCGCUUACGAAAGGUUGCAAUGGUUCAUCCGAAAAGGUGUAUCUUUUGGAAAAGUCAUGUCAGUUCAUUUGAAACAUUGUAUCUUUUUUUGAACAAACACAAUUAUCCGAACAGUCACGCUUUUUCCAAAACAAUAUGUAUUUUUCUCAAAGGUUGUGUCCCUUCAUUUUUCAUUCACACCAAUUGAACCCAACAUAAUUAUGUUUAUGGCUUAACAAUUAUGCAGAAUUCAAAUCAACUUAAGAAGAAACGAUUCAUGAGCGGUGUAAUAUGCUUUUGUUCACCUUUGAGCUAAGACCACCUCAAAGCAUCUAUGUUGAGUAUAAUGUGCUAUAUAUGCUAAAACGGGAAAUGAGUUUAAUUUUGCAACUAGACAUACUUUAUAAAAAAAGAACAAGAAAACAAACAUUUAAGCAUAAACUAACGUAAAAAAUUGGGCUAUAUUCCGAUGACAAUAUAAAUCCUUAAUUUUGGAACGAUUGCAUUCCAAUAACACUGUAGAAAUGAAGCAAUGUCCAAAAUUUUAAGGCAUAAAGAAGAAGUAGCACCAAAAAUAAUUGAGAGUAAAGUUAAUUACCCAAACAUAUCGACCCAUAGGGUCUUUCUCUAAAUAAUGAUCUUGGUUAACGGGUCGAUUAUUAGCACAUGGACUAAAAAAUCCACCAUUUCCAACUCUAACUCCAUUUCCAGAAUGAUAAGAAGAUCCAGAUCCAUCCCCAAAACUAACUCAUUAUGAUAAUCAACCAAAAAAUAACAAAGAAAGAGGAAUAAGGAAAAGUAAAAACAAGAAGAACAAAUUAAGACAAGCCCAAUCAAGCAGAAAUUGGAGUAAAACAGGAUAUUCAAAAAAUGUUUCUGCUGCCUAGACAAAGAUGAUGACCACAAGUUUGCAUGUCGAUAAAUGCCUCGUAAAAUGAUAAUGCCGAUCACGUGUGGAAUAAUCUUCGACGUGAUCGGCAUUCAAAUUUGAGGCUAAAAAACUAAUAAUUAUUAGUUUUUUAAUGAAAACGACUUUAAUAUAAUAAUGUGAAUAUAACAUAUAUCUUAUAAUAAGCAUAUAUAUAUAUGUAUAUAUAUAUAUAUAUAUAUAACAGGAUAUUCAAAAAAUGUUUCUGCUACCUAGACAAAGAUGAUGACCACACGUUUGCAUGUCGAUAAAUGCCUCGUAAAAUGAUAAUGCCGAUCGCGUGUGGAAUAAUCUUCGAUGUGAUCGGCAUUCAAAUUCGAGGCUAAACAACUAAUAAUUAUUAGCUUUUUAAUGAAAAGGACUUUAAUAUAAUAAUGUGAAUAUAACAUAUAUCUUAUAAUAAGCAUAUAUAUGUACACACACAUAUAUAUAUAUAUAUCGGAAACAACCUCUCUACUUCUUCAGAGGUAGCGGUAUGGGCUUCGUANNNNNNNNNNNNNNNNNNNNNNNNNNNNNNNNNNNNNNNNNNNNNNNNNNNNNNNNNNNNNNNNNNNNNNNNNNNNNNNNNNNNNNNNNNNNNNNNNNNNNNNNNNNNNNNNNNNNNNNNNNNNNNNNNNNNNNNNNNNNNNNNNNNNNNNNNNNNNNNNNNNNNNNNNNNNNNNNNNNNNNNNNNNNNNNNNNNNNNNNNNNNNNNNNNNNNNNNNNNAAAAUCUUUCCCUUUUUUUAAAGUUAAUGUUUUAGAAAAUCUUUCAUUACUUACUUAAAACUUUAAAAUUUUUGAUACUGCUUAUACUUUUCUUAUUCUAACUCUUUGCUUAUAUUUUUCUUAUUCUAACUCUUUCAUAUUUAUUUGUAGAUUUUUUCAAAUCUUCCUAAAUUCAACUUUAAUUGAUAUAGUAGAUGUUUGUCCAUAUAAAUUUUUUCCUUUUCCCCGAAAAAUUAUUUCACUUUAGUGAAAAAAGUGAAAGUGAAAACAACAAUCUUAAAUUAAACAGUUUACUACAUAUCAUUCUUAAACAAGAAACAUAAAGCUAAAUAUAUAAUACAAAGCAUAAAGACAUCAAUACGUAAUAAAUACAACCUACACUACUAAUCCUCCUCUUUUGAAGACUCUCCACUAAACUAUUCACCCUCUUCGGAGGUUUCCUCAUCUCUUACCCACUCAAUCUCUUCUUCCGCAAUAUUAACUUCUUCAAAUAUAUUUUCUGGGUGAUUCAAAUAUAUUUUCUGGGUGAUCAAUCUGCAUUUCAUUCUGAUACACAGUCUCCGGCACAUUCUCAACUUCCAUCCGUCCAAUAGACUUUGUUUUGAUUACAGCCCACCAAUUAGACUUGUCAUUACACAACGGAUAACAAGCAUAAUAAACUUGUUUGGCAUUUUCUCUAGAACAAAUGGAUCGUAAAUAGGAUACGGCCUAUUGUACUUCACUUCAAUGCUGUUAUACUCCUUAUGUACUCUUGCGCCUCUUGCGCUUAGAUCAAACCACUUGCAUAGAAAGAGGACAAUAUUUUUUAUUGGGAAACAAGCAUACUUCAGUGCUAAGAUCUCGUGUAUGAUGCCAAAGUAAUCAACAUCAUCCUUACACUUAACCCAAACACCACUAUUGUUUGUUUUACCUGUUCUGGAGUGUUGUUCGGUGGAAAAUUUAAACUCAUUUACUGUGUGUUGGGACAUUGCAUGAGCUUCAACUAGACCCAAAGAAAUAUCUCAAGAGAUGUAUGCGGCUGCAUUUGGGAAAUGGUGUACCUAAAAAGAUUAUACAUACAUACAUAUAUAUAUAUAUAUAUAGUAGUUGAGAAAUAUGUAAAUGUUUAAACUUUAUAGAAAUAUUAAUACACUUACGAACCUCAUUUUUAAACCAUAUUAAUACACUUACGAACCUCAUUUUUAAACCAUGUUGCAAAGGAUGCAUACACUUGAUUUUCGUAGAAUUGAGUCUUAAAUGAACUAAAGAUCCAACAUGCGAAAAACAAUUAGUUUCUUUAAAGGAAUGAGUAAACAAAUAAGAUAUGUUAAAAUUCUAAUCUCCUUCCUUCAGAAAGGGCUCAAUUUUCGGGCAAUUCAGCAAGACAUACAAAGUUGUUGAUUUAUACUCCGUUGGAGUGAGCCAAAGAAUUAUGGUCGUUUUAGCCUUACAACCAGAUUGAUUGAAAAUUGUUAUCGGUUGCAAAUGAGUCUCAUUCACGUCGUCCUGAUGACAUUUGGUCGGUUUCUUGAACAAGCAACUUCUUCACGAAAGUAGUAUGAACAAAAUUGAGACGUUUCACUUGUAAGAUAUGCCUCAACUAUAGAGCCUUCCACCCUAUGUUUGUUUUUGGUACCCCUUUUCAAUUUUAUAAUUUCCUUACACAAUCUAACGAUUAGAUGUUUACUAUAUUUAAAAAAGAUAUGUAUGAAUUUAAAUAUGUUGCAAUUGCUUACCUUUCAAAUAGAUACAUCCACCUAGUUUGAACUGGAUCGCCUAGCCGAGCUUUGUGCACAAGUUAAAUGGGAAAAUGUUCCAUCACAUCAAAGAACGCUGGCGAAAAAAUCUUCUCCAGCUUAUUGGUGAUAACAACUAUAUUACUUUCCAUUCGCGCCAGAUUUUCUUCUUUUAAUGUGGUGGCACAUUAGUCUUUGAAGAACAAACUGAUUUCUGCUAUUGAUUUCCAUAUGUUUUUAGGUAAACCAAUAAAAGUAAUUGCAAGUAAUUGUUCCAUGAAAACAUAAAAAUCAUGGCUUUUCAUUCCAUGCAAGAUUCCUUGUGCUAUAUCAACCCUCUUUCCCAAAUUUGAGGCAUAUCCAUCGGGCAUCUUCAAACUUUGGACCCACUUACAUAUUUAACGCUUUUGGUCCAACUUAAAUGUAAAACUAGACUUGGGCUUAAGAACAUUGCCAUUGGGCCCCUCCUAUAAGUGUAAUUCUCUGCGUUUGCAAUAUUCUGGUAAGUCAAGUCUGGCCUUAGGAUUAUCCUUUGUUUUUCCUGUGACAUCCAUAAUUGUGUUGAAUAAGUUGUCCAAAUAGUUCUUCUUAGUAUGCAUGACAUUAACAUUAUUUGUCAGUAAAUUAUCUGGUCAAUAUUCUAACUCCCAAAAUAUACUCUGCUUAGUCCAGUUAUGCGAAACACCAUAUCUAUCAAGCCUGUACAAUGGUUCUUUGCUGGCUUUAGCCAAAUCCUGAACGAUCUCCAAGAUGUCAUGACCAGAUAGUCUUGGCGGUGGACCAUCAUAUUCCCUUCUAUUCCUUCUGAAUGCAUUCUUGAGUCUCCUAAAUUCAUGAUUAGAUGGUAAAAAACAACGAUGACAAUCGAACCAUGAAUUUUUUUUGCCAUGUCUCAAAGUGAAAGAUUUUGUUUUUUCCAAGCAGUAUGGACAAGCCAGUUUUCCAGCUGUCAUCCACCCAGACAACAUUCCAUAGGAAGGAAAAUAAUUAACAGUCCACAUAAUAUAUGCACACAGAUUGAAAUUGUGUUUAAGUGAGAUGUCUCAAUUUUUAACCCCUUCAUGCCACAAAAUUUGAAGUUCAUCGAUCAAAGGUUGUAAGUAGACAUCUAUUCCACUUUUUGGAUUAUGCGGGCUAGGAACAACACAAUUCAGAAAUAUAUAGGGACUAGUCAUCAGCAUUUCAGGAGGAAGAUUAUAAGGGAUGACAAAUACAGGCCAACAUGAAUACGGCGCAACAUCAACUAAAAAAGGAGAUAAGUUAUCAAAAUCUGGAAUAGUUGAAUCAAAAUGCUUCCAAGCCUCUCCAUUAGAUGGAUGACACAUAACACCAAUAGGCCUUCUAUUUUCACUAUGCCAUCUCAUAUGAGCAGCUGAGCUGUUUGAAGAAUACAACCUCUUCAACCUUGAUAUUAGAGGUAAAUAAUGCAUUGCCUUAAUAGCAAUCGAAUUUCCACUAGAAUUACGCUUAUAUCGAGGGUGCUGACAAAACUUACAGGUGUCUAGGUUAGCAACUUCCUUAAAGUAUAACAUGCAGCCAUUUUCACAACAAUCAAUUCAAAUCGAUGAGAGACCUAACUUUGACACCAAUCUUUUCGCCUUAUAGAAAGAAUCAGGAACCUCCAAGCCGGGGUCAACUAACUCUUUAAUAAGGUCUAUCAUUGAGUCCAUUCCUCUUUCAACAAUAUUCCAGUUAGAUUUAAUACUUCAUAAUCUAAUAGCAACAGAUAAACAAGAGUGCGAACACCCGCUAAACAAAGAAUGACUAGCAGCAUGCAAUUGCUCAUAGAAUUUGCCUGCUUCACUAUUAGGAACAUGUUCAACAUUUUCCCUAAAGUCUUCCCCAUGUUGCAUCCCAAAAGCAUCAUGCACCAUUUCUGUCAUUCUAGUAUCUUAAUAUUCAUUAUGCCCUGUAGACCUACUACUUUCUCCAACAACAAAGUUAUUUUGCGCAACAUCACCAUGAACACCGCGCAAUCUAAAAAAGACCUCCUGAAGCCCCCUUCUUAAAGAUAUUCCUUUACAUCUUAUUCAUUUAUGAGAUUUAUACCAUCACAUCUAACACAAGGACAACGAAUAGCCCGAAAACUUGUCCAAACAUCAAGUGUCUUAGCAUGUUCAACAAAACUUUUCACACCUUCAACAAAUUCCUCCCUAAUACCCAUUCUAUUAUAAUUGUUCCGUUGAUAAAUCCAGCUAUAAUCAGGUUUCAUCUACGCAAUCAAUCAGAUUCAACGAAUUAGAUCAAUUCACAAAAUUUCAAUUAUUACCAAGCAUAGUCACAUUCAAAACAAAAAAAUCCCCUUUAAAGUCCCUCAACUUAACCAUUUUCAACCAACUAAGUCAACAACCAAACCGUAUUCAAAACAAAAAAAAUCCCCUUUAAAGUCCCUACACUUAACCAUUUUCAAGUAACUAGGUCACCAAUCAAACCAUAUCAAAAAAAAAAAAAUCACCUCUAAAGUCCCUACACUUAACCAUUUUCAAGUAACUAAGUCACCAAACAAGUCACAUUCUAAAUAAAAAAAAUCACCUUUAAAGUUCCUACACUUAACCAUUUUUAAGUAACUAAGUCAUAAACAAUUCACAUUCUAAAAAACAAAAUCACCUUUAAAGUUCCUACACUUAAUCAUUUUCAAGUAACUAAGUCACCAAUCAAGUCACAUUCUAAAUAAAAAAAUCACCUUUAAAGUUCCUACACUUAAUCAUUUUCAAGUAACUAAGUCACCAAUCAAACCACAUCCAAAACAAAAAAAUCACCUCUAAAUUCCCUUCACUUAACCAUUUUCAAGCUCAAGUCACAUUCUAAACAAAAAAAUCACCUCUAAAGUCCCUACACUUAACCAUUUUCAAGUAACUAAGUCACCAAACAAGUCACAUUCUAAACAAAAAAAUUUCCUCUAAAGUCCCUACACUUAACAAUUUUCAAGUAACCAAGUCAGCAACCAAACCACAUUCUAAACAAGACAAUCACCUUUAAAGUCCCUACACUUAACCAUUUUGAAGUAACUAAGUCACCAAUCAAACCACAUCCAAAACAAAAAAAUCACCUCUAAAGUCCCUACACUUAACCAUUUUCAAGUAACUAAGUGUAAUACCCCGUACUUCUACCUAGCUUAAAAUCGUCCAAGAAUGUUAGAAACUUACUUUGAA
rnacentral:lncRNA from 1 species